CCAUUUCCAAACUAGUCUCACUGACUAGUUAGCGUGUUCUUGAUUAGGUUGAAAAGUCUUACAAUGUCAUAGUAGCAAAAGACACUUGGGUGCGCAUCCGAAACCGCCUUUCCACCAUCUCUCCCCACCAAAUAGCAGCUCAGUUUUCUCUUUUCCCCUUUUUCUCAUCGCUGAACCAUUUUUCUCCACUUCUAUUGCCGGAAAAACAUUAGAGCUUGAGAGGAGGAGGACACAACCUGCUGCCACGGUUGUUACAGUCUCUUGCUUUCUUUUUCUAGCUAAAUUGACACCGGAUUUGGACUCCUCGCCCCUCAAAACCUCAAGUCCAACCCUCCUUCGCCAGUUAUCCUUGUCGCUAGCCGUAGUUUUCUUUCACGGAGCAGAACCUUCCUUGUCGUGAUUUGGUAUUUUUCGAAAAGUUUUGAGCGGUGAUUUUAGCAUUUCCAAACUCAGCACAUCUAAAGCUUUACAU
rnacentral:lncRNA from 1 species